AUACGUAGGUGGCGAGCGUUGUCCGGAAUUACUGGGUGUAAAGGGCGCGCAGGCGGGGAUGUAAGUCAGGUGUGAAAACCCGCGGCUCAACUGCGGGAUUGCAUCUGAAGCUACAUUUCUUGAGUACUGGAGAGGGAAGCGGAAUUCCCAGUGUAGCGGUGAAAUGCGUAGAUAUUGGGAGGAACACCAGUGGCGAAGGCGGCUUUCUGGACAGUAACUGACGCUGAGGUGCGAAAGCGUGGGGAGCGAACAGGAUUAGAUACCCUGGUAGUCCACGCUGUAAACGAUGGAUACUAGGUGUAGGAGGUAUCGACCCCUUCUGUGCCGGAGUUAACACAAUAAGUAUCCCACCUGGGGAGUACGGCCGCAAGGUUGAA
rnacentral:rRNA from 1 species